CUUUUUGCUGGGAUUCUAAUAUCCCUCCCCACAAGUCCCUUGUUUGGCAAAAAACUCCGGAGGGACACGAAUGACCGGGGAUUUUAAGAAAGGGAUCUUCAUUAAACAGAGACCCUUUUCUGAGUUCCGCCUCUUUACGCGUAACUUUGAAAUUCCAAAAACCACAACAACGCGACUGGACCACCUUGAUUUCUCGCGAAUUCCACUCCUUGAAUCGCUGAUUCCCAGAGAACUAGAAAGAGUACAGGAAGCUCUCAAGGCCUCAAUCAUCUUCUCCAGGUAAUAAUCAAACCUCUCUUUCAGUCUUUCUAUUCAAUUGGAAUUGAUUUUCUUUCAGUAAUUGCAACCAGAAACCGUCAUUGUUUCAGUCACUGAUAUUAUCUCUGCAACCUCUCUUUACUCAAUGUGGUUUUGUUUGUAGGUCUCUUUACUCAAUGUGAAAUUUUAGGAUGUCAAUUUUAUAUGCAUUAGUUGAAAACAGAAUACAUGCAGGGCACAAGGUUUUUCUGCAGUAAAUAUAUUUGCAGUUGUGUUAAUCAAGAAUCUCGGUAGCAAUUAAGCAACAAGUUAAGGUUCAGUUUAACUAUGCUUGUCUUUGGUUGCUCAAUAUCAAAUAAAGUUUGUUGAUGCUGAGCAAAACGAACUAGCUAACAGUCAAUACAAGGGUCAAUGUUCAACUUCAUCAAAUGCAAGCGGUUCGACUUCAGCGGGGCAGCUUGGAGGAACUACUGCAGAAACAUCUGAAGUGGUAGAUAGUCGGGAGAAGGCUUAUGAAUAAGAUAACGGCAAAUCUGUUUAUUUGUAGGACUUUGGAAAUGGGGGACUGAUAGGAAUGCCCUGCCCUUUUUUUCUGGUAUAUGGGUAAAUUUUUAUUUGAACCUCAAAUAAUUGUUGAGUUAGCUGCAUUACUUGGCUGUAGUCAAAUUUUGUUGUGUUCUAGUUUUUGCUUUGAUUUCAUAUCUACUCCCAUUGAGAGUGGGACUCGUCACCUGUAGCUGCCUUCCAUAUAGUUGUGGAGGCUGCUUGUGUUGUUUCUGCUGUAUGGGAUAACAUGCAGCCUGUAAAUUCAUGAUUGUAUCGGAAGUGUAGCUUUCUAUAAAAGCAGAGCUAUAAUUACAUAUCAUUCUUCACUCAAAGAUAGACGUA